UACGUAGGUGGCAAGCGUUAUCCGGAAUUAUUGGGCGUAAAGGGAGCGUAGGCGGUUUAUUAAGUCUAUGGUGAAAGUUCGGGGCUCAACCCCGUGAUGCCAUAGAAACUGGUAGACUUGAGUACAAGAGAGGUUAGUGGAAUUCCAUGUGUAGCGGUAAAAUGCGUAGAUAUAUGGAGGAACACCAGUGGCGAAGGCGGCUAACUGGCUUGUAACUGACGCUGAGGCUCGAAAGCGUGGGGAGCGAAUAGG
rnacentral:rRNA from 1 species